GGUCCCGUGGUGUAGCGGUCAGCACUCAGGACUCUGAAUCCUGCGACGGGAG
rnacentral:tRNA from 1 species